UUGAGGCGUAAAGAGCUCGUAGGCGGUUUGUCGCGUCUGCUGUGAAAGCCCGGGGCUUAACCCCGGGUGUGCAGUGGGUACGGGCAGACUUGAGUGCAGUAGGGGAGACUGGAAUUCCUGGUGUAGCGGUGAAAUGCGCAGAUAUCAGGAGGAACACCGAUGGCGAAGGCAGGUCUCUGGGCUGUUACUGACGCUGAGGAGCGAAAGCAUGGGGAGCGAACAGGAUUAGAUACCCUGGUAGUCCAUGCCGUAAACGUUGGGCACUAGGUGUGGGGAACAUUCCGGGUUUUCCGCGCCGUAGCUAACGCAUUAAGUGCCCCGCCUGGGGAGUACGGCCGCAAGGCUAAAACUCAAAGGAAUUGACGGGGGCCCGCACAAGCGGCGGAGCAUGCGGAUUAAUUCGAUGCAACGCGAAGAACCUUACCAAGGCUUGACAUACACCGGACCGGGCCAGAGAUGGUCUUUCCCCCUUGUGGGGCUGGUGUACAGGUGGUGCAUGGUUGUCGUCAGCUCGUGUCGUGAGAUGUUGGGUUAAGUCCCGCAACGAGCGCAACCCUCGUUCUAUGUUGCCAGCACGUGAUGGUGGGGACUCAUAGGAGACUGCCGGGGUCAACUCGGAGGAAGGUAGGGAUGACGUCAAAUCAUCAUGCCCCUUAUGUCUUGGGCUUCACGCAUGCUACAAUGGCCAGUACAAUGGGGUUGCGAUGCCGUGAGGUGGAGCUAAUCCCCAAAAAGCUGGUCUCAGUCCCGAUCGUGGUCUGCAACUCGACCCCGUGAAGUCGGAGUCGCUAGUAAUCGGCAGAUAAAGUAAAGCCUGUCGAGAAAAAGUAUCCCGGGGCCUCUCACACCCCCGUUCAGUGCUUUCAACCAUUGUGGGCUUCGGCCACCGGAUUGGGAACACCCCCCUCGGCAGCUUCCACCUGAC
rnacentral:rRNA from 1 species